rnacentral:lncRNA from 1 species
AUGAUCUCACUGCAGUGUUUUUCCAGGGGAAGCUUCAUGCCUGCACAAGCAUUCUGUGGGAUCAGCCAACCUCAUCCCUUGGACACAGGGCUGCUUUGUCUGACUUCAUGCUCUGCAGAUAUCCAUGACACAUCAAGCUGGAAAGAUCAUUUUGAUGCUGAGCUUUGGAGGGAUCCUGCCUUAGAUAUUGUGUGGAGCAGCCACAGGAGGAAGAGGAGACUCCAAACACCCCUCAAAGAGCAGAACUGCUGGCACAGGUGAUUAUCCCACACUGGCUCUGACACCUGCCUGCUCCUGCUACCCUUAAGUUUUCCUUUUGCUACAUUUUCCAGUUGUUUUUCGGUGCUAAAAACUGCUGGGGGAGGGAAUAAAGAGGAAUCCCCCACGGGCUUGGAUUCUAUUAAGCUGUGGAUCCAUUUGCUUCAGAAGAGAGAGACCUAAAUGUGGAACUGAAUUUCCUCAAAGUGAAUUCCCAAAGCUGGGCACUGGAGGGAUGUAGGUCACUUUGCUUUGUUCUGAGGCUGAGCUGAGCUAUAAAUAACAUCAAUUUUUCCCUGAAAAGUGGGAGCACACUUGUUCUUGCUGCUUUAUCCAGGUCACUGCCUCUGAAGGUAACACCAGUGGCUCCUGCUGCCACUUCCAGCCUCUGCUUUUAAGGACAGGAUUCUCCAAAUUUAAAUUUUUUUUUCCUGUAUUAAGCAUGCAAAACAGCACUGCAGGACAUGCACUUGGAGGGGAUUAUUUUCCUCUACAAAUCCUGAAAACACAUUUUGGGCAGCUUGUUUACCCCUCAAUCACCAAUAUAUUUUAUCCCACCAAAUAUAUUUUUGUCCCUUGAAAUGUUCACCUUCAAAGAACAUCAGAAAGGGAUCAAGUGGCCCAAGUUCUCCACGUGCCAUGAUUGGAAGGUGCGAAAUAUUAAGGAGAUUUCUUUUGAGGGGAAAAAAAAUAAAGGCAGGUUCACAGGGAUAAAUCCCUGGGGUGGCUUCCCUGGCUGACAGAAGGUGCAGAAUCCAUGAAUAUUUCUGUGGAACAGCGGCAUCCAGUGGGCAAAGAAGGAUUCCUGCUCAUAUCCCUGGAAAAUUGGGAUAGGGCCAUGGAAAAGCAGAGGUUUCUCCCCAAUAUUCAGCGCUGUGCAACUCCAGCCCGUUGCAGUAAAUGUUGCAAUACCCAAAUUUUCCUUAACAUGCAAGCUGAGUUUUCAUUGCUGCAUUUUGACCCAGUGGUUUUU